GUCUAUGGCCAUACCACCCUGAAUGCGCGUGAUCUCAUUUGAUCUUGGAAGCUAAGCAGGGUCGGGCCUGGUUAGUACUUGGAUGGGAGAAAUGUACCUACUCCCUGUCUUGUCUUCAACC
rnacentral:rRNA from 1 species